rnacentral:rRNA from 1 species
GAUGAACGCUGGCGGCGUGCCUAAUACAUGCAAGUCGAACGAACAGACGAGGAGCUUGCUCCUCUGACGUUAGCGGCGGACGGGUGAGUAACACGUGGAUAACCUACCUAUAAGACUGGGAUAACUUCGGGAAACCGGAGCUAAUACCGGAUAAUAUAUUGAACCGCAUGGUUCAAUAGUGAAAGACGGUUUUGCUGUCACUUAUAGAUGGAUCCGCGCCGCAUUAGCUAGUUGGUAAGGUAACGGCUUACCAAGGCAACGAUGCGUAGCCGACCUGAGAGGGUGAUCGGCCACACUGGAACUGAGACAUGGUCCAGACUCCUACGGGAGGCAGCAGUAGGGAAUCUUCCGCAAUGGGCGAAAGCCUGACGGAGCAACGCCGCGUGAGUGAUGAAGGUCUUCGGAUCGUAAAACUCUGUUAUUAGGGAAGAACAAAUGUGUAAGUAACUAUGCACGUCUUGACGGUACCUAAUCAGAAAGCCACGGCUAACUACGUG